rnacentral:rRNA from 1 species
AGUCGACGGAACUGUUUUGAAGAUUUCUUCGGAAUGAAUUUGAUUUAGUUUAGUGGCGGACGGGUGAGUAACGCGUGAGUAACCUGCCUUCAAGAGGGGGAUAACAUUCUGAAAAGAAUGCUAAUACCGCAUGACAUAUCGGAAUCACAUGGUUUUGAUAUCAAAGAUUUUAUCGCUUGAAGAUGGACUCGCGUCCGAUUAGUUAGUUGGUGAGGUAACGGCUCACCAAGACCGCGAUCGGUAGCCGGACUGAGAGGUUGAACGGCCACAUUGGGACUGAGACACGGCCCAGACUCCUACGGGAGGCAGCAGUGGGGGAUAUUGCGCAAUGGGGGCAACCCUGACGCAGCAACGCCGCGUGAAGGAUGAAGGUUUUCGGAUUGUAAACUUCUUUUAUUAAGGACGAAAAAUGACGGUACUUAAUGAAUAAGCUCCGGCUAACUACGUGCCAGCAGCCGCGGUAAUACGUAGGGAGCAAGCGUUGUCCGGAUUUACUGGGUGUAAAGGGUGCGUAGGCGGCUUUGCAAGUCAGAUGUGAAAUCUAUGGGCUCAACCCAUAAACUGCAUUUGAAACUGUAGAGCUUGAGUGAAGUAGAGGCAGGCGGAAUUCCCCGUGUAGCGGUGAAAUGCGUAGAGAUGGGGAGGAACACCAGUGGCGAAGGCGGCCUGCUGGGCCUUAACUGACGCUGAGGCACGAAAGCGUGGGUAGCAAACAGGAUUAGAUACCCUGGUAGUCCACGCUGUAAACGAUGAUUACUAGGUGUGGGGGGUCUGAC